AUUGAACGCUGGCGGCAGGCCUAACACAUGCAAGUCGAGCGAUCGGCGGACGGGUGAGUAAUGUAUUGGGUCUGCCCGAUCGAGGUGGCUAACUACUGGAAACGGUCGCUAAUACCGCAUACUAUCGGAUAACCCAUAUGGGAUUAGCUAGUAGGUGAGGUAAUGGCUCACCUAGGCGGCGCUCCCUAGCUGGUCUGAGAGGAUGAUCAGCCACACGGUGACUGAGACACGGCCCAGACUGCUACGGAGGCAGCAGUGGGGAAUAGGGCACAAGGGGCGCAAGCCUGAUGCAGCCAUGCCGCGUGUAUGAAGAAGGCCCUAGGGUUGGAAAGUACUUUCAGUCGGGAGGCGUUACCGAAAGAAGAAGCACCGGCUAACUCCGGGCCAGCAGCCGCGGUAAUAC
rnacentral:rRNA from 1 species